AAAAAUUCUAAACUACUAAAACUCUUCGAUUCGAAAAUUUCAGAAGCUCAGAAAUAUCAAAAAUCGAAGAUUCGAAAGAUUUGAAAACUUGAGAAUUCCAAAACUUUUAUGUUCGAAAAUUCUAAAAUUCAUCUAAUAUGUCACAGAUACUAAAAGUAGAUUACAGAGUUAACAGGUUGAAUUUAAGCAAGCACGCAAAUGCCUCUAACAGCUGACGAUUGCUCUCUUUCCGGUGGUUCAACGAUAUUAGAGAAAUUCGCACGUUGUCCCCACACGUGGUAACGCACAGCUAAAUAUACGCGACUAAUGACUGUUACGAAAUGUCAAGCAGAAGCUGCCGAGUAGUGGGUCAGUCGUAAAGUCAGAUUCUGUUUCGCGUGUGUUCCCUAACAAGCGAUUAGUUUCGAGGAGAAAGGUGUCGAUUUUCAAUGAGUAUCGAUUUCCAAUGAGUAUCGAUGAUCGAGUCUGUACGCAACAAAAUGGUUGUACUCACUACAUUUUAACUUUAUUUAAGCAAAUACUUACGUUACAAAAUAAAUUAGACAUAAAAUAAAUUGCCCGCCAAUAACAAUUCUUUGCAAUGUGAAGACUUAGAAAGUUCUAUUGCGAGAUAUGUGAAGCGGAAAAACUUAGAAUUGACCCUCUCAACUGGAGGCGAGACAAAAACAGCGUACGGAUCUUUAAGAUGAAAUAUACAGUGGUUUAUUUCUAGCCACAUUUUAUGAACACAUUAUGUGCGUUAUACAAAAUAUUUUUAAAUUGCAUUACGACUGUUAUGAGAAUUGGCUAUCAUGAUUAUGUUAAUCAAAUGUGAAACAAAUCUGAAAAUAUAUAUAGAAAUUACAAGAUAUUUAGCAUCUACAAGUAUAUAAUUCACAGAGAUGACAAAAGUAUUUAAACAGUCAAUUAUCCGUUACAUUAAUAAAACUCGAUAUUCAGUUGAUAUAUCUCUAACAAAUAUUGUAUAUGUUUAAGAUGGCCAUUUAUGCUGUAUACUAAUUUCUUACUAAAUAUAAGUUUACAGUAAAUAUCUUGCAACUUGUAUAUACAUUUCAGAUUUUAAAUUGCACCGAUAUAAUCGUAUGUUAUAAUACCAACGGAAUAUCAAAAUGUUUUACGUAACACAUACAAUACGGACAUAAAAGUUUUCUAUGGGGGUUAUUGAGGAAAUCGAUGAUGGAGAUCUAUUCUUUGCCGGAGGAACAAGCUAGUAGAAGGAAAUAUCGACGAAAGUUCGCUGGCGGCUGGUGUAUACUGCGCAAAUGCUCUCCCGCCUCUCGGAAUAUUACUUGGUUGCCCAAGGUUGCCGUUCGUUCUGCUCACGACUCGAGCAUUAUGCACGUGUAUAGAUAUAUCAGCUACGCACUUACAGCAAUAUACCUCUACACCAACGUAUUUACGACACACGCUUAGAAGAUCUAUCUCUUUAUCGUGCACAUACACCAGGAGAGUACAUAUCAGCGUUUCCCAACCAUUUUUCUAUUCUGUUAAAACGUUUACUUACCACGUGCAAUACGUGUUUUCUUCAUCGUUAACUAUAGUAUAAUGAGACAUUCGAUGAAGCUAGUGAAUAAUUCAAGGUUAAUUGAAUUACUCAGCCAAUAAAAAAAUGAUAAAGAAUAUUAAUUAUUUGAGAAUACAUACAUAUUACUAGAAUAUUAUAAUAUAUCAUAGAUGACUCUAACAGGUUGAACCGAGACAAAGUCGAGCUGAAAAACGAGAUUGGGAAACUCUGUAAGCGCAAUGCACCUAUUCUUUGUUCAUUUCUCGGCUUUUAAGAGCGUGCCUUGCAUCGGUGCACGGCAAUUAUUGACGUGUGUGUGAAAACCAAGAGAUACAUCGAGCACCGUAUGUUCUAUGUAUGUAUAUACGAGAGUAUAUGCGCGUCUGAUUGGUACCAGGACUACCAGGGCCUCUCCCUUCCGAACAAACGACGAUGGUUCAAGUUGGUCGCUUGCACGACACGGAUCAACGAUUUAACGUGAACAGAAAACAGAACAGUCUCUCUCGAUCUCUGCGGUCGGAUCGUUCCAAAUCGAUCGAUCGCUUCCCCGAUACGCGGAAUCUCACUUUCUCUGAAACUCUGUUUUCUUUUCCCUUUGUCUUGCUGCUCACCGUGAAGCAUGUUUUGAGAAUUAAACGAGAUAUAAAAACAAUAUCACGCAUAUCUUAAUUCGAAAAUGGAAGAAUAAUUACUUAUCCACUUGGAGAAAUCAUUUUCCAUGCAGAAGAAAAAUACGGGUAGUUCCUGUUUCUUUUAGAAUGUUCGUCGGUAAGAAACGGUAAUACAAAAAAUCAUUCGUAAUUUUUAUGUUAACGAAUGAGUAAAUUAAUUACUUCCCGUUUCAUAGCGUUUUAAAUAUGAAGACAUUCUCAUUCAUAUGUGUAUGUAAUAUGUUAUACUGAUAUGACUGAGAUGUCGUUUGAUGAUAUUGAUAUCUUAUAUAUUAUUUUCGUUCAUAUACAUAUAUAUAUAACAUAUAAAUGUAUAUAUCAUUAUACACAUAUGAACAACACGUUAUACAUAACAAAUCAUUGUCUUUCUAUAGUUGAGAAUCGAUUGAAAGUUUGUCCAUUUAUAAUCUGAUUAAAUAAUGCACGACCGCGCACGUUGUUUUCUAAUCAUUUAUUUACGUGAAUAUUUUCGACGUGGAAACGCAUCUACUAUAAUCGUAAACUUUAUAGAAGCAUUAUUUGUGGAGUUGAAUCGCUUUCGUUUACAUAAUCUACGUCUUCCGUAAGCACAGCGUGUAAAAUGACCGAUAGAAUUCUUGUAAAUGGAAAUUUUUAUUGAAUAAUCUUCACAGAGAGACUGAUUCUUUACAAAGAACACGAUAAUAAUAACGUGUUAUCGCUAAUGUUUCAUUUCAUUGAUUUCACAACCCAGAACAAUUACGAAGCAUCGAACAUUUGUAUUUUAUCAUGAAUGAUCAUGAAAAAUUAAGUAUUAAGAUAUGUUAAUUCAAAUAAAAGAGAUACUCAUUUUUUUGGAUAAUUAAUUUGGAAUAAUUGGAGAGUAUAGCAGUAAAUAAGUUAAUCAAAGAGAAUUAAGAAUCGAGAAAUUAAUGACAUAAAAUCUGUAUUCGAAACGCUGCUGUUUAAUGCUGCAUAAAUUC